rnacentral:rRNA from 1 species
UACAGGGGGGGCAAGCGUUGUUCGGAAUUACUGGGCGUAAAGGGUCUGUAGGUGGCCAACUAAGUCAGACGUGAAAUCCCUCAGCUUAACUGGGGAACUGCGUCUGAUACUGGAUGGCUUGAGUGUGGGAGAGGAAUGCGGAAUUCCAGGUGUAGCGGUGAAAUGCGUAGAUAUCGGAAGGAACACCAGUGGCGAAAGCGGCUUCCUGGUCCGACACCGACGUUCAGGCACGAAAGCGUGGGGAGCAAACAGG